UACGUAGGUGGCAAGCGUUGUCCGGAAUUAUUGGGCGUAAAGCGCGCGCAGGUGGUUUCUUAAGUCUGAUGUGAAAGCCCACGGCUCAACCGUGGAGGGUCAUUGGAAACUGGGGAACCUGAGUGCAGGAGAGAAGAGUGGAAUUCCACGUGUAGCGGUGAAAUGCGUAGAGAUGUGGAGGAACACCAGUGGCGAAGGCGACUCUUUGGCCUGUAACUGACACUGAGGCGCGAAAGCGUGGGGAGCAAACAGG
rnacentral:rRNA from 1 species